rnacentral:tRNA from 1 species
GGAGGCGUCCGGGUGCCUGGUGGCCCCCCCGGUCUUCAAAACUGGUGGACGGCGCUCCGCGUCGUCGGCGGGUUCGAUUCCCGUCCGCCUCCG